rnacentral:rRNA from 1 species
UACGGAGGGUGCGAGCGUUGUCCGGAAUCACUGGGCGUAAAGGGCGCGUAGGCGGCUCAUGAAGGCUGUGGUGAAAGUCCGGGGCUCAACCUCGGAUCGGCCGUGGCGACUCGUGGGCUGGAGCACUGUAGAGGCGGGUGGAAUUCCGGGUGUAGCGGUGGAAUGCGUAGAGAUCCGGAAGAACACCGGUGGCGAAGGCGGCCUGCUGGGCUAUGGCUGACACUGAGGCGCGACAGCGUGGGGAGCAAACAGG